UUCGUGUGAACAGUGGUUGAUCACGAGUUAGUCGGUCCUAAGUUCAAGGCGAAAGCUGAAAAUUUUCAAGUAAAUAAAAUAAUAAUAAUAAUAAAUUUAUACACUUGAAUAAUUUUGAACGAAAGGGAAUACGGUUCCAAUUCCGUAACCUGUUGAGUAUCCGUUUGUUAUUAAAUAUGGGCCUUGUGCUCAUCCUGGCAACAGGAACGACCAUAAAGAAGCCGUCGAGAGAUAUCGGAAGAGUUUUCUUUUCUGUUUUAUAGCCGUACUACCAUGGAAGUCUUUCGCAGAGAGAUAUGGUAGAUGGGCUAGAAGAGCAUGACAUAUACUGUUGUGUCGAUAUUUUCUCCUCGGACCUUGAAAAUUUAUGGUGGGGAUACGCAAACUUCUCAACAGGCCGUACCAAUAUCCGCAGCUGGUCUCCAAGGUGAAGAGUCUCUAGUCGAUAGAAUA
rnacentral:rRNA from 1 species